ensembl:lncRNA
AUGGAGUCCUUACCCUUCGUGUUACCAAUGUUCUCGUCUCCCGAGACUUACCCUUGCCUUCUCAUCCUCCGAGUUCCCAUUCCGUUCCUUCCGGUUCCCGCUUUAGUUUUGUUUGUCUCCUUAGACUGUUUAUUUUGGAUUACCCAGUUUUUGUUAAAUAAACGUACCUGCAAUUGGAUCUCUCCCUCUCCUUGUGUUUUCCUGGUGCACGAACGUCACAGAAGGACUCCAUCCAAGAGAUCCAGCGGUAUGUCUGCUCCAAUUUCCUCCCCAGCCAUCAAGCGGGAGAGAAAUGGUUUUGAGGGUACUCGCCAGGUUGUGUUCCGUGAAACGAGGGGAGGUCGCUCCGGAGUAAGCAGUCGAGAGGAGGUCCGGCAGCGAUCUCCACUGUGGGCUCCCGUUGACCCGGGGUUCGGUUGGGAGCCGCCAUUUUCCCAUUAUGAACAGAGAGGGGAGAGGAGACACAAAUCGGCUAAGCCGGUGCCGCUGCACAAAAUGGCCACCAACCCAGCACCGCUGCGCGGCAUGGCUGCCAACCCAGUGCCACAGCACAAGAUGGCUGCCAACCAAGUGCCAGGAGACAAGAUGGACGCCAGCAUAGUGCCACAGCACAAAGUGGCCACCAGUCCAGCACCAUCAGCACCAAUGCCCAAGAUGGCAGCAGAGACAUUUUUGGAUUAUUUCUCCAAGCUGUCAAAAAUCCUAGAGAUUCCCAAGACUGUUCACGUCACGUCAGCGGAGUCAGCACCACUGCACAAGAUGGCCGCCAGCCCGGAGCCACUGCAGAGGAAGGCAAUUACAGUGGGCUUUCCUGAGUUGAGUCAGUUUCCGGUUGACCCUCCAGAGACGAGUCAGGUGUUCAUGGACCCUCCAGAGUCAGGGUUAGUCACCGUCGACCCUCCAGAGCCAGGGUUAGUUACCGUUGACCCUCCAGAGUCAGGGCUAGUUCCUGUUGACCUUCCAGAGUUGAGUCAAAUUCCAGUUGACUGUCCAGAGUCAAGUCAGGCUCCUGUUGACCUUCCAGAGUCGAGUCAAGUGUCCAUUGACUUUCCAGAGUUGAGUCAGGUUCCGGUUGACCCUCCAGAGUCGAGGCAGGUGCUCGUGGACCCUCCUAAGUCGAGUCAGGUGCUCAUGGACCCUCCAGAGUCAGGGUUAGUCACCGUCGACCUUCCAGAGUCAGAGUUAGUCACCAUCUACCCUCCAGAGUCAGGGUUAGUCACCGUUGACCUUCCAGAGUCAGGGCUAGUUCCUGUUGACCCGCAAGAGUCGAGUCAGGUAUUCGUGGACCCUCCAGAGUCAGGAUUAGUCGCCGUUGACCUUCCGGAGUCAGGGUUAGUCACCGUUGACCUUCCGGAGUCAGGGUUAGUCACCAUUGACCUUCCAGAAUCAGGGUUAGUCACCUUUGACCUUCCAGAGUCAGGAUUACCUACCAUGGACUUUCCAGAGACAAGGCUAGUCACCGUUGACCUUUCAGAGUCAAGUCAAGUCACUGGUGAUCUUCAAGGACAGAGUCAAGUCAAUGGUGAUCUUCAAGGAAAGAGUCAAGUCUCCGGUGAUCUUCAAGGACUGAGUCAAGUCACCGGUGAUCUUCAAGGACUGAGUCAAGUCACCGGUGAUCUUCAAGGACUGAGUCAUGUCACCGGGGAUCUUCAUGAACAAAUGCAAGUCUCCAAUAAUCUUCAUGAGCAGAGAAAAGUCAGCACCGAUCUUCUGGAAUCCAAUAGAAACACCAUAGGAUUACCAAAGGUUCGUCCUCCCAUUGGUCUGGCCACACGGAUGUGGUGGUCAUCUGCUCCGACCUGGGGGACUUCAUCCUCGACCACAAGGAUUUGGUGGUCUUCUGCUCUGCCCUGGGGUCCUUCAGCCUCGACCACAAGGAUGUGGUGGUCUUCUGCUCCGCCCUGGGGUCCUUCGGCCUCAACCACAAGGAUAAGGUGGUCUUCUGCUCUUCCCUGGGGGGGCUUCCGCCCUGGCCACACGGUUUUGGUGGUCUUCUGCUCCGCCCUGGGGGACUCCGGCAUCGACCAUAAGGACGUGCUAGUCUUCUGCUCCACCCUGGGGGACUCCGGCCUCGACCACAAGGAUGUGGUGGUCUUCUGCUCCACCCUGGGGGGCUUCCGCCCUGGCCACACGGUUUUGGUGGUCUUCUGCUCCACCCUGGGGGACUCCGGCAUCGACCACAAGGAUGUGGUGGUCUUCUGCUCCGCCCUGGGGGGCUUCCGCCCUGACCACACGGUUGUGGUUGCCUUCUGCUCUGCCCUGGGGGGCUUCCGCCCUGACCACACGGUUGUGGUGGUCUUCUGCUCGGCCCUGGGGGACUCCGGAAUCGACUAUAAGGAUGUGGUGGUCUUCUGCUCCGCCCUGGGGGACUCCGGCCUUGACCACAUGGUUGUGGUGGUCUUCUGCUCCGCCCUGGGGAACUCCAGCAUCGACCACAAGGACGUGGUGUUCUUCUGCUCCUCCCUGGGGGACUCCAUCCUCGACCACAAGGAUGUGGUGGUCUUCUGCUCUGCCCUGGGAGGCUUCCGCCCUGACCACAUGGUUGUGGUGGUCUUCUGUCCCGCCCUGGUGGGCAUCACGUGA